rnacentral:lncRNA from 1 species
CCCGAGGGCCCAGGAACUGCAAUAAAUGAUCACAGGGAAACUUAGAGUUCAGAGAGGGGGUGUGAUUUGCCUGAGGUCACACAGCAAGUUAGAGACCCAGCUCCACGACUCAUUGUCUUGGCUUUGGCCCUCGUCAUCCUGCCCACCCAGCGGGGCUUCCCAACCCACCACACAGCCAUGGACGGGAAGGUGGCAGUGCAAGAGUGUGGGCCUCCUGCAGUCUCCUGGGUCCCCGAGGAGGGAGAGAAGUUGGACCAGGAAGACGAGGACCAGGAGCCUUCUUCAUCCCCUACUUCAUCUUCUUCUUUGUCUGCGGCAUCCCGGUGUUCUUCCUGGAGGUGGCGUUGGGCCAAUACACCAGCCAAGGGAGUGUCACAGCCUGGAGGAAGAUCUGCCCCCUCUUCCAGGGCAUUGGUCUGGCAUCUGUGGUCAUCGAGUCAUAUUUGAAUGUCUACUACAUCAUCAUCCUUGCCUGGGCUCUCUUCUACCUGUUCAGCUCCUUCACUUCUGAGCUGCCCUGGACGACCUGCAACAACUUUUGGAACACAG